GAUAAGGGCGUAUGGGGAAUGCCUAGGCUCUCAGAGGCGAAGAAGGACGUGAUAAGCUGCGAAAAGUCGUGGGGAUUGGCACAUACAAAUUGAUCCGCGAAUAUCCGAAUGGGGCAACCCACUAUAUUGAAGAUAUAGUAUCCGCAAGGAGGCGAACCCGGAGAACUGAAACAUCUAAGUACCCGGAGGAAGAGAAAACAAUAGUGAUUGCGCUAGUAGCGGCGAGCGAACGCGCAGAAGCCCAAACCAAUGAGUUUACGGACUUAUUGGGGUUGUAGGACUGCAACAUUGUUUGUACAAUGAAUUAGAACAAGUUGGAAAGCUUGGCCAAAGACGGUGAUAGCCCGGUAUAGGAAAGUUGAUAUAAAGCAUAGCAGUAUCCUGAGUAGUGCGGGGCACGUGAAACCCUGUAUGAAUCCGGCGGGACCAUCCGCCAAGGCUAAAUACUCCUGAGAGACCGAUAGUGAACCAGUACCGUG
rnacentral:rRNA from 1 species